AUCAGGCCGUCAACAUGUUGGAAGAAAAUGAAAAUAAAAACAUUCAAUCACAAGUGAAAAAUGAAAAUUAAUCUCCAACUCUCAUUGAAUAAAAAAAAAAACUUGAAACGUUGCUUCCAUGAGUCCACCAUCUUAGCAUUCUCAAAGAAAAAAAAAGAAAAAUUGACACAGUGCACACCCACAAAAAGAAAUCAGCGCCAGGUUUUUGAAAUGAACAAUAAAAGUCCUCCUCAAAUUCUAUUCACUAAACCGUAAUGUGCUGCCCAUUUCUCCAUUUGGAAAUGAAAUAAAACAUUGUGCCAAGUUGAUAUCACCGUGAACUAAAAACCAAAAUGAAUGCAGGCUGUCUUUUUUUUUUAAAAGAAAAGAAAUGGAAUCAAUCUCUGUGAAGCACUAGACUAGGAAUUAAUCUACGAGCUCCAUACUUGCAGCCCC
rnacentral:lncRNA from 1 species